CCCCUCGCACAGCCGCCGCCGCUGACCCGACCCUCGACCGUGGCGACGACGGCGUCCCUCCUGUCGGUCGUGCCGCCGCUGCCCCAGAUCGUCACACAGCCGCAGCUGCCUAUACUUUUUCUCGCCCCUCCCCUAAUCCAGUUUCCGUCCAAAGCCGCCGCCGCAAACAAGGGAUCCCACCGGACCUCGCCGCCGCUGCAAUCAAGUGAUCCCGCCGAACCUCGCCGCCGCCGCCAUCAAGGGAUCCCGCCGGACCUCGCCGCCGCCGCAAUCAAGGGAUCCCGCUGGAUUGCCGCCAGGUUUCUGGUCCGCCGCCAGGAGCCGCAGGAACUGCAUGCCAUCAGGCGCGGCGUGCCGAGCCCGCCGAAGCCUCCUCUACCCCACCGCCCCCUGCAGCGCAUCCCUCCGUCGAGCAUCCGGUCAUGCCGAGCAACGCCGCGGACCAGUCCGUAGGCAGGAUCUAUCUGGCCGACCUCAUUUGAGCUGCGGCUUAAGCAUUCCUACUGCACGGGUUUGCACAUAUGAUACAUAGUUGGUUGAGCACAUCUUCUAGACUCUUGUGAAUACAUCUGGGACAACGGUUCACAUCAGUCAGGGUUGCCAUGUGAAGAAAAAGGAUAUGUGGGAGCUUUUGAAUGGACAAAGGCUUCAGCAAGGAAGAGAAGACAGCUGCAUUUCCUUACUUGCAAUUCUAGUAACUAUCUUUGUUAUAACUUGCAGAGUGUACCUGCAAAAGAAAACUUGUAGAGUGUGAUGGAUUAAUUAGGAUGCUAUGUAAUCAGAGUACAUACCCUAUCAUAUGUAUCAUGACUGAUUGCGACCAGGGUCUGCAUUCUAUGAAGAAGGCACCCAUUUAUAUGUUUAUUA